rnacentral:rRNA from 1 species
UAGGGAAUCUUCCACAAUGGACGCAAGUCUGAUGGAGCAACGCCGCGUGAGUGAAGAAGGUUUUCGGACCGUAAAGCUCUGUUGUUGGUGAAGAAGGAUAGAGGUAGUAACUGGCCUUUAUUUGACGGUAAUCAACCAGAAAGUCACGGCUAACUACGUGCCAGCAGCCGCGGUAAUACGUAGGUGGCAAGCGUUGUCCGGAUUUAUUGGGCGUAAAGCGAGCGCAGACGGAAGAAUAAGUCUGAUGUGAAAGCCCUCGGCUUAACCGAGGAAUUGCAUCGGAAACUGUUUUUCUUGAGUGCAGAAGAGGAGAGUAGAACUCCAUGUGUAGCGGUGGAAUGCGUAGAUAUAUGGAAGAAUACCAGUGGCGAAGGCGGCUCUCUGGUCUGCAACUGACGCUGAGGCUCGAAAGCAUGGGUAGCGAACAGGAUUAGAUACCCUGGUAGUCCAUGCCGUAAACGAUGAGUGCUAAG